rnacentral:rRNA from 1 species
GACGAACGCUGGCGGCGUGCUUAACACAUGCAGGUCGAACGGUGAUGCUCCAGCUUGCUGGAGUGGAUCAGUGGCGAACGGGUGAGUAACACGUGAGCAACCUGCCCCAGACUCUGGAAUAAGCGCUGGAAACGGCGUCUAAUACUGGAUACGAAACUGGCCCGCAUGGGCAUGGUUUGGAAAGUUGUUCGGUUUGGGAUGGGCUCGCGGCCUAUCAGCUUGUUGGUGAGGUAAUGGCUCACCAAGGCGACGACGGGUAGCCGGCCUGAGAGGGCGACCGGCCACACUGGGACUGAGACACGGCCCAGACUCCUACGGGAGGCAGCAGUGGGGAAUAUUGCACAAUGGGCGAAAGCCUGAUGCAGCGACGCCGCGUGAGGGAUGACGGCCUUCGGGUUGUAAACCUCUUUCAGCAGGGAAGAAGCGAAAGUGACGGUACCUGCAGAAGAAGCACCGGCUAACUACGUG